CGCCUUAACCUAAGCAAAAGCGAAUGGCAGUGAAGCAGUCAGACGAGCUUUGAGCCCAGGCUAUGCCGGAGGCCGAAAUGAAAGAGAAGGUGAACGCAAAUACGGUGUAAAUCAUGCGUGGGCACGUACACGAAAUCAAUCGAAAACCAAUGACCGAAGAUCGUUCCCGAGGCCGGUAUCAAUAACCCCAAUCACCGGAUCGUUAAAGAUCGCGGUGUCGGUCGGCCCUUAACGAUGCAAUUAGGCCGCGAGAGGGCGCUCGAAUUAGGAUUGAUAAAUGUCAGGAACGCCUCCACACUGCUCGCGUCGUUUCUGCUCUUCGCAAUCAGAGGCGAACGAAUUUAUUCGAGUAUCGGCUACCAACGAAGGAUCUCGCGAGUGUAUUCGCAAGGUUAGGUUAGGUUAGAUUGGUCGUCUUGGAUUCGUACGCAUAUUCCGUGAAUUUGCAAGAAAAUUGCGGUUUCUUAUGUGGUAGCAAGAUGGUAUUUAUAAA